rnacentral:rRNA from 1 species
CCUACGGGAGGCAGCAGUGGGGAAUAUUGGGCAAUGGAGGCAACUCUGACCCAGCAACGCCGCGUGAAUGAUGAAGGUCUUCGGAUUGUAAAGUUCUGUUCUAAGGGAAGAAGGAAGUGACUGUACCUUAGGAAUAAGCCUAGGCUAACUACAUACCAGCAGCCGCGGUAAUACGUAGGAGGAGAGCGUUAUCCGGAAUGACUGGGCGUAAAGGGUGGGUAGGUGGUUUGACAAGUUGGUAGCGUAAUUCCGGAGAUCAACUUCGGAACUACUACCAAAACUGGUGGACUCGAGUGCAGGGGGGGCAACUGGAAUUUCUGGUGUAGCGGUGGAAUGCGUAGAUAUUAGGAAGAACACCGGUGGCGAAGGCGAGUUGCUGGACUGUAACUGACACUGAGGCACGAAAGCGUGGGGAGCAAACAGGAUUAGAUACCCCGGUAGUC